rnacentral:lncRNA from 1 species
GAGGCAGAGGCAGAGGAGGGACUAGGGAUGUCAAUGGGCAUGAAUAUCCAAAAUUUUAUCCGAACCCGAAUCCGAAUGAAACGAAUAUAUCCGAUGGAUAUGGAUAUGAAUUUGAAUAUGGAUAUAAAAAAUAAAAACCCGACGGAUAUGGAUUCGGAUAUGAAUUUUGAUUGUAUCCGACCCGAACCCGAACCUGACCCGAACCCGAAUUUAUUUUGUAUUAUAUAUAAUAUAUAUAUAAAAAUUUGAUGUUAUAUUUGAAUUUGUAUUUUAAAAAUUUAAAUUUAAUAUAAUAUAUUUUGAAAUAUUGAAAAAAGAAUAAUUAUUUCGGGUUCAAAUUUUCGGGUUCGGGUUCGGGUUCGGGUUUCGGAUUUUUGAUCUGGUUCGGGUUUGGAUAUGGAUUUUUAAAAUCCGUCGGAUUCGGGUUCGGGUUCGGGUCUCGAGUUUGGAGUCGGGUUCGGAUUCGGAUUUUUAAAAAUCCGUCCCGAAUCCGACCCGUUGACAUCUCUAGGAAGGAAGGGGUCAGUGGCGGGUUUAAAAGCUGUUUGGUUUUUCGAAAAAGUAUAAAAACUUCUUUUUUGAAAAAAAGAUUUUUAACGGAAGCGCUUUUCACAGUUUCCCAUCUUUUUAGUUUCAACAAAAAUUAACUUUUUUUCUGAAAGUAAAUGAAAAAUUAAUGUUUUCGUCUUCUGAAUUUUUCUUAAGAAAAAUAAAA